rnacentral:rRNA from 1 species
CCUACGUGAGGCAGCAGUGAGGAAUAUUGGUCAAUGGGCUUACGCCUGAACCAGCCAAGUCGCGUGAGGGAAGACUGCCCUAUGGGUUGUAAACCUCUUUUGUCAGGGAGCAACGCCGGCUACGUGUAGCCGGACUGAGAGUACCUGAAGAAAAAGCAUCGGCUAACUCCGUGCCAGCAGCCGCGGUAAUCCGGGGGAUGCGAGCGUUAUCCGGAUUUAUUGGGUUUAAAGGGUGCGUAGGCGGAAUGCCAAGUCAGCGGUAAAAUCGCGGGGCUCAACCUCGCUCCGCCGUUGAAACUGGCGUUCUUGAGUGGGCGAGAAGUAUGCGGAAUGCGUGGUGUAGCGGUGAAAUGCAUAGAUAUCACGCAGAACUCCGAUUGCGAAGGCAGCAUACCGGCGCCCAACUGACGCUGAAGCACGAAAGCGUGGGUAUCGAACAGGAUUAGAUACCCCAGUAGUC